rnacentral:piRNA from 1 species
UAGCACUUGCUUAAUUGAUUUGACACACC